UAUGUUUACAAUGAAUUUCAAAUAAAUAUAAAAAUAUAUUCCAUCUUUACAGUGAGAAAGUUCUUCAGUCGAUUGAUAUCAAUGUAUAAAUCAUUAGUCUCAAUGGCUGGUAAUCACAGAGUGUUGGGGCCUUAGAUAUACAUAAUAUCUCACAUAGCAAAGGCAAAAUGCAUGAAAGUUGGAUUCAAACUCUGUGACAACAAUACCAUGAAUGGGUUUUGACAAUGCAUUGAAAGCUACACAAGGGAUAUAACUUCCAAGUUCCUUGUAUGCUUUAACGAAAUUUACGUGACACUGUCAAUAAUCUGUCGAAAAGAAAGAAGCGUUGUUUGAACUCUACUAGAACUCAAGUCGAGUCGCAAAGUGCGAAUUUUAGUUUUCGGAAACUUUACUAAAUUGGUGUCUUUAGCUACAGUGCGAUGGUUUAUAGCUACAGUGCGAUGGUUUAUAGCUACAGUGCGAUGGUUUAUAGCUACAGUGCGAUGGUUUAUAGCUACAGUGCGAUGGUUUAUAGCUACAGUGCGAUGGUUUAUAGCUACAGUGCGAUGGUUUAUAGCUACAGUGCGAUGGUUCAUAGCUAAUUUAUGAAAAAAGUAACAUUUCUCAUUUGGAAGAUUACGUAAAACUGUUUUUCUUUGUGCCAAACAUGAUGAUGCUCUCAUAACAAGGGAUUCGAUCGAGUAGUCAAAUUUCGGGCUGCCAAAAAUGACGUCGCUUCAGUCAAAGGGACAGACGCCAUUUGUGGCGAGAGCAGAAAGGGCCAGUGACGUCAUAGCCAUGUAGAGCGUGAUAGGGCCGCCGAGAAGCAAAGGGAAGUGGCUUAGAUUUCUCAGCUCUUUCUGGGCCGAUCGCCGAUGUGUGUAUACAUUUUUCUAUAAAGUUCCCUUUUUGAAUUUUUUUAAUGCAGUAUUAGCAGUAGCGAAAUGUAUCCGGUUGAUGUGUUACCAAAAAUUCAAUCCAUCCUAUGAUUUAAAGGACUCCAUUAUUUCUCGAAGUAUCAAGCAUUGUUGUUUGCAGGUUUACCUUUUUGACAGGGUGUUCCUCAACUGGGUGGUUCUUGCCAAGAAGAGAUUCAAGUCCGUUUAUCCACAACGGCCACAUUCGCUUAAUCCUUUGCCUCAUCCAGCGCCAAUGAUCUUGUUUCAUUCUGUCCAUCAAAUUGUGGUUUGCACGCUCCAAGAACGCCUACGAGUAAAAAACACUUGAAAAUGUUAAAUGAAUUUUCCCCAUUUCGCGCUGCAGAAUAAAUGCUACGGGCUAGAAGAUUGCACCACUAUACUUCCGGUCGACCGCUAAUAACAGGUAGGCCGACGGAACUUCAACAGCUGACAAAGUAGUCUAUUAAAAUCCGCGCUAUUUAGGCGGCCACCCGCUAUAAAUUAUCAGUCCCAAACUUGAAGAAACUACCAGCAGAACUUCAAUCGACUGGAAGUAAACUGGUGCAAUUGUUACAGGUUAGUGAAAAAAAACGAAUUGCAACAAUUUUUUUGGCAUUUUAAACAAUUGAAUUUGCUAAGCAAAAUGUUUUGGAUAAAUUUAUUUGAAAAUAGGUAGAGACGGACUAGCUCCGGUGUACUUGUACCUUUUUUCGUCUGGCCGGUGCAUUUUGUGGGAGUUUUCGUCGGGCUGGAAGGAUAGGACACCAAGCCUCAACCUAAGAUAUAUAAAAUAAAAACAACAUAGAAAAAGAUAUCGCGUGUUCCUACCACUUAGCACAGGGAGCUCACCUCUACGGUUUAAAUAAAGUUAUAAUUUUUUUUCAGCUUUGCGUUGCUGUUGAUUUAGUGCGUGUGUGCGUCUCUUGUCUACUUUUUCGGCGCUCGGUUCUUUCUGGCGCUCUCUCAUUGGUUAGCGGUCUAACCGCCGUCUCGUCUGUGAAAUGGCUUCCAUGUCACGACAUACCUAGUAAAGAGACAAGGGAUGAAACUCUUUUUACCCGCCCUAGAAAACACGC